AGGAGUUUAGGUUAGACCAGACCAAGAGCCUUCAAAGCUCUAAGCAAGUGCUAUACACUUAACCCCUN
rnacentral:tRNA from 1 species